GGUCUGUGGCUGCUGAACCUGGAGAGGGGAGGGGCGAAAGUCAAAAGGCGGGACCUGCUCGAGAGGCACUGGAGUUCUGAGAGCCUAGACUUCAAGGCGAGGUCCGCGUUCGCGUAGCUAAAAGGGGUGGGGCUUUGAGGAGAAGGCGAGAACUACUGGAGAGCAGGGACCCGAGCGGACCUCCCUGGGCCUCCUGAGCAGCAGCUCUGUCUGCGGGUGGUAGAGAGCAAUGUGGACUCGUCGCGGGGCAUCAUGGGAGAGGGGAUCUCCACCCCGGGUCCACACACGCCCUCCCAUACACUCGGAGGACCGGCAGUCAGGUGUGAACAGGCGUCCAAUGGAGGACAGGAGGGGGAGCGUGCCCUUGAGCGCUAAUGCGCGCACACAGAUGUGCCCUUGGCGCUCACGUGCGUCCACCUGCCUGCCACCGUCUUAAGGGAAAAAGUCAGAAUAGUAAAAUCGAGGAAGGGGAAGUGAAAGCGACACCUUUUCAACCCCUACCUGAAAUGUCAUGCAGUCCUGGUACAUAUUUUCCAAAAGUGAAAAACAACGCCUGCUUCCUGCCCCAUGAACUGUGCUCUGUAAUCUGGUUCCUUCUAGUAGUAAGAGGCCUGUUACCCACACUCUCCUGAAAGAAUUCGAUAAAGCACUGGGCACAUUAUGUGAACGCAAUAUACUCCUUUGUGUGCGUGUUUACAUGUGAAGUACAGAGAACAACCUCAAGUGUUGCUCAUAAGCCUCCAGCUACCAUGUAUUUUGAGGCAAGGUCUCUCUCUCACUAGCUGGCCAGAGAGCCCCACGAAUCUUCUGUUUCCUCAACGCUGGCUUUACAAACGGUGACACCAUUUCUGGCUUUUUUUCAGGUGGUUUCUCGUGUGUGCGGGGCAAGCACUUUAAUGACUGAGCUAUCUCCCUAGCUGCAGGCUCAACUUUAAAAAUAGCCGAGAUACACAUCAAGCAAGUAUUUAAACCUUUUCCACAUAAAGUUUUUAGGCCAUCCAUCGUUUUGCCUCACAAGAGAAGUAUGUAUACAUCACUUAAGUAAUUCAAAAUUGUUACCAAGGACAUGGCUCAGAAAGUAGAAUGCUCAAAGCAGGAGCAAGCACGAAUCACUGGGUUCCAUCCCCAGCACCCCAUAAAUGCAGCAUGACGAUGUGUCUGUAACCCUAGCAUUCAAGAAAUGGAAACCGGAAGUUGUUCAGGCUCACCUUCCGCAAACCUGGCCUACAUGGGACACUGCCUACCCAACCCCCAA
rnacentral:lncRNA from 1 species